rnacentral:lncRNA from 1 species
UCUAUUCUAUAUGACACAAUAGUAUAUGUCACGAUGUAAAGGUCAAAUAGCAUAGAAGUGUAAAACCUCAGUAAACACACAGAGAAAUAUAUACUACACCCUAUUAACUAAUCACUAAACUUUACACAGAAAUAUGACCUCAAUGUGAACCCCAAUCUUCAAAUGGCAAACCCAAUAUGCCAGAAACUAACCCUUUUUUAAUCAUCACUAAACCCUAAAAGGAAAUAUAAACCCUAAAAGGAAAUAUAAACCCUAACCCAAUUAUGAAACUAAAACUUUUCCAUAUUAAUUAACUCUCUAUCCAAUCUUCAAAUGGAGAACCCAAUAUGCCAGAAACUAGCCCCUCCUCAAGAAUCACUAUACCCUAUACAAAAAUAUAAACCCUCAUCCUAAGUCACUUCAAAUCUUUGAUAAACUAAACCUAUCAACUAAUCACUAAACCCUACACAGAAAUAUAAACCCUAAUCCAAUGUCAACCCCAAUCUUUUAUAAAUUAAACCUAAAUUUUAAAAUGUCAGUAAAAUGCAAUACCAUUUUACAUAAGGCAUAUAGAAUAGAAAAUGUGAAAAUGUAGUUACAAUCUAAAGAUCAUCUUAACACAUUUCUCAAAUGUUGAUAUGGCUAUACUUUCAUGAAAUGUGGUUAUGCUUGCCCAAAUGUCAACCCAAUCGUACAUAACUAAACCCUAUCAACUAAUCAUUAAACUCUACAUGAAAAUAUAAAUCCUAAUCCAAUAUCCAAUGUCAACCUCAAUCUUUUUUAAACUAAAU